rnacentral:rRNA from 1 species
AACGAACGCUGGCGGCGCGCCUAAUACAUGCAAGUCGAGCGAGAAGGUGUAGCAAUACACUUGUAAAGCGGCGAACGGGUGAGGAAUGCAUGGGUAACCUACCCUCGAGUGGGGAAUAACUAGCCGAAAGGUUAGCUAAUACCGCAUACGUUUCCGGAACUUCGGUUUCGGAAAGAAAGCAAUACCGUGGGUAUUGCGCUCCUGGAUGGGCUCAUGUCCUAUCAGCUUGUUGGUGAGGUAACGGCUCACCAAGGCUUCGACGGGUAGCUGGUCUGAGAGGACGAUCAGCCACACUGGCACUGCGACACGGGCCAGACUCCUACGGGAGGCAGCAGUAAGGAAUAUUGCGCAAUGGACGAAAGUCUGACGCAGCGACGCCGCGUGGGGGAUGAAGGUCUUCGGAUUGUAAACCCCUUUCGGGAGGGAAGAUGGAGUGGGGUAACCACUUGGACGGUACCUCCAGAAGCAGCCACGGCUAACUUCGUGCCAGCAGCCGCGGUAAU